rnacentral:rRNA from 1 species
AGAGCGAACGCUGGCGGCAGGCCUAACACAUGCAAGUCGAGCGCCCCGCAAGGGGAGCGGCAGACGGGAGAGUAACACGUGGGAACGUACCCUUUGGUUCGGAACAACACAGGGAAACUUGUGCUAAUACCGGAUAAGCCCUUACGGGGAAAGAUUUAUCGCCAAAGGAUCGGCCCGCGUCUGAUUAGCUUGUUGGUGAGGUAACGGCUCACCAAGGCUACGAUCAGUAGCUGGUCUGAGAGGAUGAUCAGCCUCACUGGGACUGAGACACGGCCCAGACUCCUACGGGAGGCAGCAGUGGGGAAUAUUGGACAAUGGGCGCAAGCCUGAUCCAGCCAUGCCGCGUGGAUGAUGAAGGCCCUAGGGUUGUAAAGUCUUUCGACGGGAAGAUAAUGACGGUACCCGUAGAAGAAGCCCCGGCUAACUUCGUGCCAGCAGCCGC